rnacentral:rRNA from 1 species
AUACGGAGGAUGCGAGCGUUAUCCGGAUUUAUUGGGCGUAAAGGGAGCGUAGGUGGGAUAUUAGGUCAGAUGUGAAAGUUUGGGGCUCAACCUUAAAAUUGCAGUUGAUACUGGUUUCCUUGAGUACGGUACAGGUGGGCGGAAUUCGUGGUGUAGCGGUGAAAUGCUUAGAUAUCAGGAAGAACUUCGAUCGCGAAGGCAGCUGACCGGGCCGGAACUGACACUGAUGCUCGAAAGUGCGGGUAUCAAACAGGAUUAGAUACCCUGGUAGUCCGCACAGUAAACGAUGAAUACUCGCUGUUUGCGAUACACGGUAAGCGGCCAAGCGAAAGCGUUAAGUAUUCCACCUGGGGAGUGCGCCGGCAACGGUGAAACUCAAAGGAAUUGACGGGG